rnacentral:rRNA from 1 species
AUAUGAAGUCUGGCCUGCCCACUGAGAUUGUUUAAAGGGCCGCGGUAUACUAACCGUGCGAAGGUAGCAUAGUCAAUAGUCUUUUAAUUGAAGGCUUGAAUGAAUGGUCGGACUAAGGGAGGCUGUCUGCAGUUUAAGAGGAUGAAUUUAACUUUUGUGUGAAAAGGCAUUAAUAUUUUAAAGGGACGAUAAGACCCUAUAAAACUUAACGUUUGGGUUCGAUUCUAGGACUUAGGGCUAACGGAGAAUCUGAUUGAUUUGUUGUGCUGGGGCGGCUGGAAUAUAAUUGUAACUGUUCUUUAUAUUAAAUAAUUGUUAUUAGAGGUUGACCCUGAAUUUUGGGUUGUAAGAUGAAGUUACUUUAGGGAUAACAGCGUUAUUUCUCUUGAGAGUUCAUAUCGACAGAGACAUUUGCGACCUCGAUGUUGAAUUAAAGUUUUUCCUGGGAGUAGAAGUUCAGGCAAUAGGUCUGUUCGACCUUUAAAACUUUACAUGAUUUGAGUUC